UUCGCUAAUUUUUCGUUUUCUCAGACUGCAUUUUUCAGGCAGGGUUGCGUGAUUCCGGCGGGCGGGGGCCCUCCGCGAACAGAGGGGGCCCCGCCCUGGCGCCGAAUCGUGGCCGCGGUUACGAAGGGUGGGGAUUGCGGCCCGGAGGCCAUGAACCCAUUAAUGAUCCUUCCGCAGGUUCACCUACGGAAA
rnacentral:misc_RNA from 1 species